rnacentral:tRNA from 1 species
UCCCUGGAAGUCCAACAGUUAGGACUCGGCACUUUCACUGCUAGGGCCCAGGGUUCAAUCCCUGGCUGAGGAA